GACGAACGCUGGCGGCGUGCUUAACACAUGCAAGUCGAACGGUAAGGCCCUUCGGGGUACACGAGUGGCGAACGGGUGAGUAACACGUGGGUGAUCUGCCCUGCACUUCGGGAUAAGCCUGGGAAACUGGGUCUAAUACCGGAUAGGACUCCGGACUGCAUGGUCUGGGGUGGAAAGCUUUUGCGGUGUGGGAUGGGCCCGCGGCCUAUCAGCUUGUUGGUGGGGUGAUGGCCUACCAAGGCGACGACGCGUAGCCGGCCUGAGGGGGUGACCGGCCACAAUCGGACUUAAUUACGGUCCAGACUCCGACGUGAGGCAGCAGUUGGGAAUAUUGCACAAUGGGCGCAAGCCUGAUGCAGCGACGCCGCGUGAGGGAUGUCGGCCUUCGGGUUGUAAACCUCUUUCAGCAUCGACGAAGCGAAAGUGACGGUAGGUACAGAAGAAGGACCGGCCAACUACGUGCCUGCCGCCGCGGUAA
rnacentral:rRNA from 1 species